AUUGAACGCUGGCGGCAGGCCUAACACAUGCAAGUCGAGCGGAUGAAGAGAGCUUGCUCUCUGAUUUAGCGGCGGACGGGUGAGUAAUGCCUAGGAAUCUGCCUGGUAGUGGGGGAUAACGUCCGGAAACGGGCGCUAAUACCGCAUACGUCCUACGGGAGAAAGCAGGGGACCUUCGGGCCUUGCGCUAUCAGAUGAGCCUAGGUCGCAUUAGCUAGUUGGUGAGGUAAUGGCUCACCAAGGCGACGAUCCGUAACUGGUCUGAGAGGAUGAUCAGUCACACUGGAACUGAGACACGGUCCAGACUCCUACGGGAGGCAGCAGUGGGGAAUAUUGGACAAUGGGCGAAAGCCUGAUCCAGCCAUGCCGCGUGUGUGAAGAAGGUCUUCGGAUUGUAAAGCACUUUAAGUUGGGAGGAAGGGCAGUAAGUUAAUACCUUGCUGUUUUGACGUUACCGACAGAAUAAGCACCGGCUAACUUCGUGCCAGCAGCCGCCGUAACAC
rnacentral:rRNA from 1 species